UUACGUAAAACUUGGUAGCCCAGGCACCUCUUGAAUUUGCUGCUUGAUGCCAGGCACAGAAUUUGACAGUGUCUCUUCAGAAGGACUAUUUUAAAGCUAAGGAAGAUGGGAAUUCUUUUCUUCAAACGAGACAGUCAUAACACGCUGCAUGCACAGCCUGCAUGAUGCAGGAGCGCGGUGUCGGUAAGAUGAGAGGACAGCAAACACCGCGGAAGAGAUGACGGCCCUGUGCUACAGUGACAAGCAUUUAAUCCACAGCGAUCAUCUCUGACUAGCCCAAGAGAAAGACCAGAAGCUCUGGUACAAUUAGCUGGAACUAUGAGUGCUGGGAUCAAAGGUGUGCACCACUACACCAAGCUCAAGAUACUGAAAAUGGAAGAAGCUACCUACUGAGAAUUCACUAAGAACAUGUGCACACAGAAAUAAUAAUCUUGUAACCAUAACUCAGAGGGCUGGGAUUAGACCGGACACAAUAUCCACUCUGCAGCCAAACUGAAGUGGAUUUAUUUCUCUUCCUCCUUUGGUAUGGUGGUUUAGUCACCAAGAGCUGGUAGGUGAGGCAUUAACUGCUGAUUUACAUCACCGUCUAUGUAAGCUCGGGAAGUCAAAUAAAUGUGAAGGGCUGGCAUCAUGACAUGCCAAGGCAUGGCAAGUGGGUGGAAUUACUUUUCUUCCAUAUAUGGGAAACCCGUAUGUUUGACUCUGUGAGACAUUCAGUAACCAAGAAUAUUUCUCUAAUAAGCAGUUGUGCAAGUCUGCAUGUCUGAAUGUGCACAUGAAAUUCCUUACAAAUGGCAGCUGCAGGGAAAGAGCAUCCGACAUGGGAAUUUGUAUCCACUCCAAUGGUCUAAAUUGCAUAAAGUGUUCCAGAACUCCGGCUACACCUACACAUGCACAGAACAUAUCAACUAUGGCUACAGUGUCCCCUUACCCAAGAAGACCUCGCCUAAGGAGCACGUGGUGCUAAACAUAGAGCACUACCUUUUAGAAGCAAAUGGAAAUCCCGUACCUUCCCUUCCUGACUUUGUUCCCUCAGGUCCUAAUUAUCAGGACAUCCUUUCCAUGGUGUAAAGAUAUACAUCAUUAACAGAGUACAAAGCAGUAAAUCUCCAGGACGGAACACCACAUCCCAGAGCACGGAAGAAGCUUGAUGACAAGAUCAAGUACUGAGUAUGUAAUUCAAAAGGAAACCAUAAUGGUUUAAGUGGGAUAAUACAUUUCAUUUCAUGCCACAAAAGUGGCAUAGAAAUCAAUAAAGCAUACAGCCACAACAGAAUUAUUAAGACAGUAUCAGAUGCAUGAAAAAUUAUUACUAUGGCUUCAAAUAUUUAUACAUUACAGAUUUUGUCAGUGGUAUACUAUGACAAGACUAGCCUAGCAAUUUUACAAAACUCUUUUGAGGAAACUUCUUUUAGAAACUGUCUCAAAUUUCGGAUGAAGUUGCAGUCUUUUGAAAGAAAAAGAAAAAGCACCAGAUGUGACUUUUUUUUAAGACCAAGUUUUAAAAAAAACACCAAAUGGGCAAACAAAAACAAAACCAACCCUUUUCAAUUCGAGAGUGCUAUACUUUAAAUAAUGUUGUGCUUAGUUAGAAUUAUAAAUCAAUUCAGACUUUUUUAAAAAAAGCAAAUACAUACACAUUCUAAACUCAGCCACAGGACAAAGAAUUCAUCCUGUACCCUAUGAUACAGCUCACCACAUUGUAUUUUUUUAAUAAUUCACUUUGAUUGUUUUUCACCUCUCUGCUAUAGUCUCAGUGGUGGCAUACUGCUGGAACUCAGAAUCUUUCUUCUAAAAGUCUUUUAAAUGUACAACAAUCCCUAGAAGGAAUGAAUUUUGACCAAAACCACCAAGUAAAACUCAACUGCUUACAAAUAAAAAUUACCCCAAGUAAAAGAAAACAGAGAUAUACAUAUGAAAUACCAUGGCCUAUCACUAAAGGCUGUUAGGUGUCUGGUCCUAGAUGCAAUGUAUGUCCCUCAUCAGGGCAUAGAGGCCCUCACCUGCAAAUCUUAGUAUUUGGGAGGCUGAGACAGGAGGACCAAAGCUGAUCUGGCUUCAUUGUGAGUCAGAGGAGAGACACUGUCUCCUGGAAAACAACAAAGAUACUGAGCAAUCUCACAUGUAAAUCUGUCUGGCCAACGUCCUGCCCCAGAACACAUCGAGUGUUCCCUCCCGUGUGUGGCCUCUGAAGCUUGAGUUCUCCAUACCUGUUUUUCAAGCGAGGCUUGAAAUUCCUACUUAAAAUCCACGAGUCUGGGGACAUUUCUCAGUCCCAUCAGAAGGCAUCUCCUGCUUACAUAUCACUGCUUCCCACUGAAGCAACACUACAGAGCAGGCUUUUCACCAAUGCUUCUGUCUUUGAAGGAAGCUCUGUUGCUGCCUAGUGUAGGACUAGGAAUGCAGUGAUGGCUGAGGUAAGUGUCUGUUAUUUUAUCUUCCAAUAGUGUGGUGGGGGGACGACUAGGAGCCCCAUAACUGCCUCUUCUUUCUACCCACGGCACAUGGGCACUCUGCUGUCCAUGCAGGUUGGCCAUUCCUUUGAUCAACUUCUGGUCAAAUGGAUAUGAGACACCCUUAAAAUCAGCACAUGCUAAUGUCUUGUCUAAUAAUUGUUAUGGAUGUGGGCUGUUUUCCAGCUCUAUACAUUUUUUAAAAACUGCAUAAGCUCCAUGAAAAAUCUAUAUUUAUAGGCAAUAUUUUUCUGUCUUAUGGAUAGAAGGUCCAUGAUUUUGAGACAUUCUAGGAAGUUCAAUGACCCCCAGAACAUCAUGAUCACUGCAUACAUCCAAGUACUAACUACCCAAAGGCAGAAUUCAAUGCUAACCUACUUAACAUGCUUAAUGGGAAUUUAAUAUUUAAAAGUAAAUGUGACAGAAGAAAUUAUUUUUAGCAUUCAUGUUUUUUUCUCAACAUCCUAGCAUCAAGCAUAAAAAAAACUUAACAGUAGAUAAAAAUAAAUUGUGUCCUUGCAACAAAGUAUCUCAACAUAACACCUUUGAUUUUUCAUGGCUUCUGUCUCAACUGAAACAAUACUAAACAACUAUAUAUUUAGCAUUACACACACACACACACACACACACACACACACACACACACACACACGUACACACACUAAAUAUCCUAAAGCCAGUUUUUAAAAGAAAGGAAAAUAGGUCUCUUCACAGUUUUCUCAUAGAAUUUGCCACUCCACAGAGAACUUACUUAACUUUGUACAGUUACUAGCAAUGCAUUCAAAUCCUCAAUUACUAAAAUUUCUAAACCUGGUUUCAACAGAAAUGAAUCUAAGACUGGGAGCUUGAGAAGUGAUCCAAAGGCUCCUGGGGUGGGAGUAGAGGAGCCUCCAGGUGUGUGAGGCACGGAGUUCUAGGAGGUAAGCCCUCCUCUUAAAAGAGGCCGUCACCCCACAUUAAAUAAGGAUAAAUACAAGGCCCUGCAACUCCAAUCAAACAAAUGUACUUAUUCAGGGAGAUAUGUUUUCAUGGAAGUAGUCUCAGAAUUUUAUAUAAACCAAAGCAUUCUUAUUUUCAAAAAUUGUACUAUGAGGAGAAAGUACAAGUAUAUAAAUAAAGGCCAAAGUUCAACUGAAAUAUUCAAUUAAAUCCUGGAUACCAAGUUCUACGAUGAGUGCUGUCAAAUACAGACUGCCUAAGAAAUGAUUAGUGUCAGAGGUAUUUAAGAGCGGAAAACCGAGAGUCAUGACGUGAUUUUGAAGCCCCUAAAGCGUGUAAACCAUGCUUCUUGUCAGACAUUUGUGUUUCAAGCACAGAGUAGGAACCAGCGGGAAGCACUGGCAGGUAGGCUUAGCAUCUUUGUAGACCCAGAAGCAGAACUCUCCCUCCUCAUGAGGGAGGAGCCCAGGAGCCCCAGCUGAAUCAUAGGAAGAGCUCUGACACUGGGAAGGAACUGCACUGAAAUGACUGAUCUUCUUAUCAGUCAUUACAGCGGUGGCUUCCUAGACUGAGUCAACUGACUUCCUUCUGAUCACACAUGCUUACACUGCUCUCUAGAAAUUGGGUUACACGGUAAGCACUCUGCAUAAUGCAAAACCAUGUGGUUCUGCGAGUGUCUGGAACUACUCUAUUCAGAUUGUGGAUGGUCUGUCCUAUGUUAAAUGCUGUUCUGUUGAAGAACCUCUUUACUACUAGGACUAAACCAUACUUGAUGGUGUGUCAUUGCAGAUCCAGGAUGUCAGUCACUUGCGAAUCAGCACAGCAUGACAUGGUGACCAGAACCUUCUCUUACACGUGUAUGCUCACUCUCAAGUCUCUCUGAAUGGAGCAGUCUCCUAAGCACUAUUCUAUAUUGCAGGGGUGGGGCUGAGUAUGGAAUAUUCCUUUACACUGUGUGAAUAUGUCAGUGUGAUUGGUUUAAUAAAAAAGAUGAAUGGCCAAUAGCUGGGCAGGAAGAGGUUAGAUGGGACUUGCAGACAAAAAGAGAGCACGAAGAGGAAGGGGAGGAGUCUCAGAAUCUCAAGAAGACAUGGAGAAGAGAUGAACUUGCUGUACUGAAAAAAGGUACCAAGCAGAGCAUAAAUAAGAAAUAUGGAUCAAUUUGAAAUGUAAGAGUUAACUAGUAACAAACCUGAGCUAAUGGCUGAGCAUUUAUAACUAGUAAGUCUCAGUGUGGUUGUUUGGAAACUGGCCAGAGGGACAGAAAGGUUUGCCCAGCUGAGGCUGAGAGUUGGUGGGAAGAAGAGGUCUUAACUGCAGAGUCCAUGUCCCUAGCCAUCACAUUGUGCUAAUACUGGCAGGGCCUGGCAGAUACAGGCCCUGAGCAGCACAUCUGGUAAACAGUCCUGGAAUAAGACAAGAAGAUGAAAACUGUUGGAGAACAGUCAAAACAUAUUUUAAAACACUAGAAAGCUUUCUGGCCCUGCAGUACUUCCUCAAGUACCAACCUUAGCUGGCCAGGCAUGGCAGUUUAUUACAGAUACACAAUAAGGCUACACCAGCCUGAGGAAGGUUCUGUAUGGAAAUCAAGAUAUCCUUUAGAUGCUUAACAUCUUAAACCUUGCCAGAGGAGAAAGGACUCGGAGUAGGUAAGGUAUGGAGAGCGGGAGGAGUCAGCAGACUAAAGGUGCUGAGGGAGGGAAUGGCAAGCACGUAGAAUUCCUUUCUAAAUUAGACAUGGAGCACAGAAUGAACUUGAGGCUCAGGCUGAGGAGUCAGAUUUUCCUCUGUGGCGACUCUCCCUUCUCUGGCCACUCACUUUGUUCUUUACUGUCACCCCCCCCACACACACACACACACAUUAUCUUCCUUGAGGUUUUCUCCUUCGCUUUCUUUUAUAUUCUCAGCUGAUUGUAUAUUUUUCCUGUCUGCUCCAGCAGGUCAGGAGAUGUAACUGAAAGGCAAGUACAAAAUGGCGUCUGCCACAAAUGGCAGAGGGAAGACACUGCCACCAAUGAUAUGAAUGAGGAUUAGCAAUGUGCCAGGUGUGAUAAACUAGAGGAUGGAUAAUGAUGCAUAAGAUCAACUGUUCCCUGCAGGGGGCCUGUAGUGUGACAGAACAGAUACAGCACACAAAAAGAAAAACAGAAUGUAUCAUGAUGGUUACUUACGUUCAGCUUGGCUAAGGGGUGGCGCCAUGUUUAUUUAAACACUAGAUGAUGCUGUGAAGGGCACUUAAGAUCUGCAGUCUUCCAGAAAGUCAUUUACUGUCUAUAAGUAAGACUCAUCCAGUCACUCAUUAGGUCCCCAAAGAGAAGAAGCCCUGCUUCUAGACCACAAGGAACCUACCUGUAUAUUUGGAACUCAGGACUACAACAUCAGUGCCUACCUCAAUUGCCAGCCUGUUUGCCACCCACCUUCCUUCCAGAUAUCCUGACCACUGCAGUCCCAGAGCCACCUUCCUUCCAGAUAUCCUGACCACUGCAGUCCCAGAGCCACCUUCCUUCCAGAUAUCCUGACCACUGCAGCCCCAGAGCCGCCAUGCUCUCUUUCUUAGUCUUUCUCUCUCCCAUCAGUUUUGUGGAGAGCCCUGCCAAAUGACAUACUAGUAAGUAGGGGCAAGGUCAAUUAUUCUGAACUCAGAGGGUUCAAUGACCAACAGCAACUUCCCCCAUUCUCCAUUCAGACAGACUGUCUCCAAAUCUCCCAAGUAUCAUACAGGUAACUUAUGUUCACUUACCAAGCCAGUGGCUUUUAGUUUGGUAAAUUUGUUUUCUUUGUUGUGGAGAUAGUGUCUCCCUAUGUAGCUGUCUGGUCCUGAACUUGUUAUUCUAUGACCACAGCCUACUGAUCACUGCACUUGCCCUGUCUUAAAUGUUCCUAUAUUAUAAAUUAAAGACUUUAUUAUUUUCUCUUGCUUUUACUUCCCUCCCUAAAGCAUCUGUAUCAUACAUUUGUUACAAGAAUCAGCCAACCAGGAGUCACAUGGUUUUCCUUUCCUAAUAAAGUGUUUUCACUUAGACAUCA